UGGGGAAUAUUGCGCAAUGGGCGAAAGCCUGACGCAGCGACGCCGCGUGAGGGAUGAAGGUUUUCGGAUCGUAAACCUCUGUCAGAAGGGAAGAAACCGCACUGUGCUAAUCAGCAGUGCCUUGACGGUACCUUCAAAGGAAGCACCGGCUAACUCCGUGCCAGCAGCCGCGGUAAUACGGAGGGUGCAAGCGUUAAUCGGAAUUACUGGGCGUAAAGCGCACGUAGGCUGCUUUGUAAGUCAGGGGUGAAAUCCCACGGCUCAACCGUGGAAACGGCCUUGAUACUGGCUUAGCUUGAAUCCGGGGGAGGUGGGAGAAUUCCCGGUGGAGGAGUUAAAUGCGGAAGUUGUCGGAAGAAACACCAGGGGGGAGGCCGGCCACCGGGACGGGUAUGACGCUGAGGUGCGAAAGCGUGGGGAGCAAACAGG
rnacentral:rRNA from 1 species